rnacentral:rRNA from 1 species
UGGGGAAUUUUGGACAAUGGGCGAAAGCCUGAUCCAGCAAUGCCGCGUGUGUGAAGAAGGCCUUCGGGUUGUAAAGCACUUUUGUCCGGAAAGAAAUCCUUGGCUCUAAUACAGUCGGGGGAUGACGGUACCGGAAGAAUAAGCACCGGCUAACUACGUGCCAGCAGCCGCGGUAAUACGUAGGGUGCAAGCGUUAAUCGGAAUUACUGGGCGUAAAGCGUGCGCAGGCGGUUUGCUAAGACCGAUGUGAAAUCCCCGGGCUCAACCUGGGAACUGCAUUGGUGACUGGCAGGCUAGAGUAUGGCAGAGGGGGGUAGAAUUCCACGUGUAGCAGUGAAAUGCGUAGAGAUGUGGAGGAAUACCGAUGGCGAAGGCAGCCCCCUGGGCCAAUACUGACGCUCAUGCACGAAAGCGUGGGGAGCAAACAGGAUUAGAUACCCUGGUAGUCCACGCCCUAAACGAUGUCAACUAGUUGUUGGGGAUUCAUUUCCUUAGUAACGUAGCUAACGCGUGAAGUUGACCGCCUGGGGAGUACGGUCGCAAGAUUAAAACUUCAAAUGGAA